CCUACGGGGGGCAGCAGUGGGGAAUAUUGCACAAUGGGCGCAAGCCUGAUGCAGCCAUGCCGCGUGUGUGAAGAAGGCCUUCGGGUUGUAAAGCACUUUCAGCGGGGAGGAAGGCGGUGAGAUUAAUAACCUCAUCGAUUGACGUUACCCGCAGAAGAAGCACCGGCUAACUCCGUGCCAGCAGCCGCGGUAAUACGGAGGGUGCAAGCGUUAAUCGGAAUUACUGGGCGUAAAGCGCACGCAGGCGGUCUGUCAAGUCGGAUGUGAAAUCCCCGGGCUCAACCUGGGAACUGCAUUCGAAACUGGCAGGCUAGAGUCUUGUAGAGGGGGGUAGAAUUCCAGGUGUAGCGGUGAAAUGCGUAGAGAUCUGGAGGAAUACCGGUGGCGAAGGCGGCCCCCUGGACAAAGACUGACGCUCAGGUGCGAAAGCGUGGGGAGCAAACAGGAUUAGAUACCCGGGUAGUC
rnacentral:rRNA from 1 species